UAGGACCUGCAGGUGUGAUCUCCCGAUGCUGCAGUGCUCUAUGUGCUCAGAUUUUUUAGGCAGAGAGCUGUUCCAGUUUGGACCUCUCCUUAUAUAUAUGUAUGUAUAUAUUGUUAUUUUGUUAGACCCAUCGGACAGUGAUAGCUUGAGUGUUCUAUAUGCCUUCUUGUCUGAGGUUUCGCCCAAAACACGCUUGCUAGUAUGUGUAGACUUGUUCAUCGAGAAUGUAAUAACAGGAUAAUUAUUAAUUAGCGGUCACAACCAUUAGAACUGAAGAGGGUUAAAUUACUGAGAACAAAUCCUCUUUAAAUGAUUUCAGACUUGAGGAAAUGUCGCCCGCAGGUUGUGUAUGCUGGGAAGGCUGGUGAUGCAAGAUAUCAGGCGAAUCCUCAGACCUCUUCUUAUGGUUUAAAUAAAAUUUGAAAAUGGAAGGGCUGUCUGUACUCAUUUCAAGCACCAAUGCAACAAGAAAUAAUCGACUUCAUUGGUGUUGAAGAGGAGGUAGAUAUAUCAGGCAGCUAUUUAAGAGCAGUGGAAAGGAGCUGUAUCUUUCUUUUUUAUUGGGAUUAAGUUGUGGCCUUAUCCCUUUUGCAAAUCUCAAUUUUGCUUGAGGAGUGAUUGACCUGUCGGAAAACACUCGCAGCAAGCUAUUGGAUUCUCCACAAUAAAUCCACUUAUCAGAGGUUAUACUCUUUCCCAUGAACUUUACUUCGCUCAGAGGCCCCUUUCCAAAAUAGUUACAGCUAAUGGCAUUGGCAGAUCAGAUUAUACUUUUGGAAGUAAAGAUGACUUUGCUAGGCCUGAAUAUUUCAAUGGACACGAUGCGAUAGUGGCAGUCAAUGUUCAUCAGGGAUUUAACAAAGAGGAUUCCCUGAUCAUGAAGAGUUUCUCUUGAAUGGUGCAUGUUUAGAUUGAACUCAUGCGGAGCUAUAAGGCAGAAGUAGAGACCAAAUGGCCCAAAUAACGACUGGCAAUGAAGGAAAAUUUAGACUUUGGUAAAAUUUAAAGCAAGGGACGAAGAGUUGACAAUCUUGAUGACGAUGGAUCACCACAUGUGGGUGCAAUCCUCAGAGUGGUGACACUGUCAUUGGGGAAGUGGCAGAAUCUGGUGAAGACCAUAGGCUGAUUCUUUUUCUUAUGUGAGUGAUAUGGUAGAGAGAGGUGCAUUCACUCGUACGCAUGUUUGAUCUCAUGUUUGCGAGGCGCAAUGGGCUAGUAGUUUUAAACCAACCGAACAGCAAAAACUUGCAAACAUAUUAUAAUAAUACUUAGUUCUGGAUAUGUGGGUACUAAAGGGACGUGUUACCCUGUUAUAUUUUCCUCUUGAAUAUAGUGAAUUGCCAAGGAACAUCAUGAAUGAUGUUUUUUCUACUCCUAGAAAACUGCAUCGUAUCAUGUAGGAUUGGAAAUGGACAAAAAUAGCAUGAGAACAGAAAUUCUGAGAUGGAUGUAUACAGAACUCAACACAUCUUUGAUUUAAUACACAGCCUAAGGGUUCCUGACACUAAAAGCCCCAACAUGAGAUCAAAGGCUGUGCCUCUGGUUCUAUAUUAACCAUGUCUUUAUAUUUUGCAUUUUUGUCAGUGACUAACCUGUGUGUGCUUUGGCUGGAAGAGUCAUUGUCCAGUCCUAGUGCUUGAUAUGAGAUGUCGGUUAUCCGAAAGUCUGUAAUGCCAGAGAACAAAUGAGUUUUCGUUGAAAUAUUUCUCAAGGCAGCUGGGCAACUGUUUCGUUUGGAGAAAACAAUGCUGUCAACUGGAAAGGAAAAGCCACACAGACACACCGUCAACAUAUUGUGCAUUGAUGGUUGGCAUAUUUGGCGGAACGUAGGCGGCACACACAAGAUGUUACAGCAAAAAAGUUUCUGAUAUGGCUUUUCACUCCCUGGAUGCAAAUUUGGCCCGAUGUGUGCAAAGAAGAAGCGGGGCAUCAAUGUUUCAAUAGACAUUGCUGGACUCCACCUCCAGGCAUGGUGCUACUCAUUCUCAGGCUGACUUUUCUGAAAGAUCAUGUUAACAGCUUGACCUCUAACUCAUCUCCAUUAAGAUGGCAAGGGGAAUUGGGACACGCAUUAAGGUGUAUGGUAACAUUGUUCGUUAGAUUUAUGUGAAUAAUUGUAUUUACCCUUUUUUUCAUUGUUGUUAAGAAGCAUUAUCUAUCACUUCAAAAAAGGGAGGAAGCAUCAAUUAUGUGUGGUAACAAUGAGGUUUAAUGAAGUUACACGUCAGGAGGAGCACCCCAGCCACCAGUCCAUUUUAUUCUCUUUAUAUUAAGUUAUCUCCGUUGGUUAUUAGCUGUUAUGAGGUUGUUAACGGUCCAUCUUGUAGCUAAGCUUGCUCUCCUGAUGAUGUGGUUGAUCUCUGAGGAAGAUGGAUAGAUGCUACAACGAGUUCCUAUAUUUGCAGCAGCUCAUAGAGGAUGAACUUGGUAAGUUUUUUUUUUUUAUUGCUGGUGGCCACUGUUGACGGAACUCUUAUCAUGCCCACUGUUUUUUUUAGGGCAAGCACAUAGCUUUAUCAGAAACAGUUUGGGCUAGAUCGCCCGAUACAGACUCAGCUAUACAAGCUGGAACAUCAUCAUGUAAAACAAGAACUUCUCCGUCAGAGAGAUGUAAACCCAGCCGAGCUAAACUGUGAGCAGGUUUGUUUGCAUGACGUUUACAGUGUGAGAAUACACAAGAGGAAAACCACAAUCUAGCCUGAAUCUUGACAUCCUCGAUCACUUGGGCUUCCUUGGAGAAGUCGGGUGCAUGCCUGUUCAGAGCUUG